rnacentral:rRNA from 1 species
AGCGAACGCUGGCGGCAGGCCUAACACAUGCAAGUCGAACGGAUCCUUCGGGAUUAGUGGCGGACGGGUGAGUAACACGUGGGAACGUGCCCUUUGGUUCAGAACAACUCAGGGAAACUUGAGCUAAUACCGGAUGUGCCCUUCGGGGGAAAGAUUUAUCGCCAUUGGAGCGGCCCGCGUCUGAUUAGCUAGUUGGUGAGGUAACGGCCCACCAAGGCGACGAUCAGUAGCUGGUCUGAGAGGAUGAUCAGCCACACUGGGACUGAGACACGGCCCAGACUCCUACGGGAGGCAGCAGUGGGGAAUCUUGCGCAAUGGGCGAAAGCCUGACGCAGCCAUGCCGCGUGAAUGAUGAAGGUCUUAGGAUUGUAAAAUUCUUUCAGCGGGGACGAUAAUGACGGUACCCGCAGAAGAAGCUCCGGCUAACUUCGUG